rnacentral:rRNA from 1 species
GACAGAGGUCCCGAGCGUUAGGCGGAAUCACUGGGCUUAAAGCGUGUGUAGGCGGAGUUCUAAGUACCUUGUGAAAUCCCACGGCUCAACCGUGGAACUGCUUGGUAUACUGGUUCUCUUGGGCCACCUAGGGGCAAGCGGAACAAGUGGUGGAGCGGUGAAAUGCGUAGAUAUCACUUGGAACGCCAAUGGUGAAAACAGCUUGCUGGGGGUGUGCCGACGCUGAGACACGAAAGCCAGGGGAGCGAACGGG